GACGAACGCUGGCGGCGUGCUUAACACAUGCAAGUCGAACGGAAAGGCCCUGCUUUUGUGGGGUGCUCGAGUGGCGAACGGGUGAGUAACACGUGAGUAACCUGCCCUUGACUUUGGGAUAACUUCAGGAAACUGGGGCUAAUACCGGAUAGGAGCUCCUGCUGCAUGGUGGGGGUUGGAAAGUUUCGGCGGUUGGGGAUGGACUCGGGGCUUAUCAGCUUGUUGGUGGGGUAGUGGCUUACCAAGGCUUUGACGGGUAGCCGGCCUGAGAGGGUGGCCGGCCACAUUGGGCCUGCGAUACGGCCCAGACGCCUACGGGAGGCAGCAGUGGGGAAUAUUGCACAAUGGGCGGAAGCCUGAUGCAGCGACGCCGCGUGCGGGAUGAAGGCCUUCGGGUUGUAAACCGCUUUCGCCUGUGACGAAGCGUGAGUGACGGUAAUGGGUAAAGAAGCACCGGCUAACUACGUG
rnacentral:rRNA from 1 species